AACGCACAUUGCGCUCUCUGGUAUUCCGGAGAGCAUGCUUGUUUGAGUAUCAGUAAAACACCCUCAAUCCUCUCUUUUUUUUGGAGAGAAUUGGAUUUGAGUUAUCCCAACGGCGGUGUUAAAACCGCUGGCGGGUCACUUGAAAUGCAGGUGCGGCUGGACACAUCUUCUGAGCUAUAAGCAUUACUUAUUUAGUCCCGUAAAACGGAUUAUUUCUACUGCUACAGCUAAUAUAAAGGUCGAUUGUCCGUUUGCCCGACUGAUGCAGAAAAAACAAAGAGAAAUCUUUGUUCACUCGAUCUCAAAUCAAGUAAGACUACCCGCUGAACUUAA
rnacentral:misc_RNA from 1 species